rnacentral:snRNA from 1 species
GUGCUUGCUUUGGCAGCAUAUAUACUAAAAUGGGAACAAUAUAGAGAAAGUUGUCAUGACCCUGCACAAGGAUGACAUGCAAAUUUGUGAAACAUUCCCUGUUUUU